rnacentral:rRNA from 1 species
AGAGUUUGAUCAUGGCUCAGGAUGAACGCUAGCGGCAGGCUUAAUACAUGCAAGUCGAGGGGCAGCGCAGUGUAGCAAUACAUGGGCGGCGACCGGCAAACGGGUGCGGAACACGUACACAACCUUCCUUUAAGCGGGGAAUAGCCCGGGGAAACCCGGAUUAAUACCCCAUAGUACGUCGGAGAGGCAUCUCUCUGAUUUUAAAGAUUUAUCACUUAAAGAUGGGUGUGCGGCUGAUUAGGUAGUUGGCGGGGUAACGGCCCACCAAGCCUACGAUCAGUAACUGGUGUGAGAGCACGACCAGUCACACGGGCACUGAGACACGGGCCCGACUCCUACGGGAGGCAGCAGUAAGGAAUAUUGGUCAAUGGACGAAAGUCUGAACCAGCCAUGCCGCGUGGAGGAUGAAGGUCCUCUGGAUUGUAAACUUCUUUUAUAUGGGACGAAAAAGGGACUUUCUAGUUCAACUGACGGUACCAUAUGAAUAAGCACCGGCUAACUCCGUGCCAGCAGCCCGCGGUAAUACGGAGGGUGCAAGCGUUAUCCGGAUUCACUGGGUUUAAAGGGUGCGUAGGUGGGUUGGUAAGUCAGUGGUGAAAUCUCCGAGCUUAACUUGGAACUGCCAUUGAUACUAUCAGUCNNGAAUACCGUGGAGGUCAGCGGAAUAUGUCAUGUAGCGGUGAAAUGCUUAGAUAUGACAUAGAACACCCAAUUGCGAAGGCAGCUGGGCUACACGAAUAUUGACACUGAGGCACGAAAGCGUGGGGGAUCAAACAGGAUUAGAUACCCUGGNAGUCCACGCCCUAAACUAUGGAUACUCGACAUACGCGAUACCCUG